rnacentral:rRNA from 1 species
GACGUAGGGCGCGAGCGUUGUCCGGAAUCAUUGGGCGUAAAGCGCGUGUAGGCGGUCCGGUAAGUCCGCUGUGAAAGUCGGGGGCUCAACCCUCGGAUGCCGGUGGAUACUGUCGGGCUUGAGUACGGAAGAGGCGAGUGGAAUUCCUGGUGUAGCGGUGAAAUGCGCAGAUAUCAGGAGGAACACCAAUUGCGAAGGCAGCUCGCUGGGACGUUACUGACGCUGGAGACGCGAAAGCGUGGGGAGCAAACAGG